CCUUAUAUAACAUCUGUUGUUACUAUUUAUAAGGACAUUUUAAUUGUGAAUAAUUUAUUGAUUCAGGAUAAAUAGAACUCUACUGGUUUUUAAGAGAAUUGUUGAAACUAAGAUUGUAACAUCACACGUACUGUAUACUGUUAUAUGGCAGUUUUGCUAUUAACUUGAUUUUAAAAAUCCGUGUCUAUCCUUUUUGUGUGUGUAGUGGAUUUAUAAUCUGGUUUUCAACUUUAAGAUAUUAAACCAGUGUUACCUUUGAAUUAUGAGCAUCCUGAGUGCUGAGCUGUACCCUGUGUGGUAGUGCACUUGUAAUCCCAGCACUUGAGAAGUGGAGACCGGCGAGUCAGGAGUCCAGGCAUUUUCUUUUUCAGAGCAAAUUGAGGCCAGCCUGAGCCAUGAGACCCUGUCUCAGAAAACAUGCCUUGCAUGGUAACUCAUGUCUUUAAUCCUAGAGGGCAGGAAGCAGAGACAAGCAGAUCUCUUAGAUGAGUGUCCAGGCUGGGACCGUGCUUGCCCAGCCACUAGACUCGGAGGCCAGUCCCCAGCACUGCCAACAAAAAGAAAACCUGGAGGUGUUUGAGAAGUGGGGGUUAUACAUGUUUCCUCUACUUAAGAGAGAUUUAUGUUGAAAAUGGAUAUAAUAAAAGAACUUUGCACUA
rnacentral:lncRNA from 1 species